CAGCCGCCGCGGGAAUACGGAGGGUGCAAGCGUUAAUCGGAAUUACUGGGCGUAAAGCGCACGCAGGCGGUCUGACAAGUCAGAUGUGAAAUCCCCGGGCUUAACCUGGGAACUGCAUUUGAAACUGUCAGGCUGGAGUCUUGUAGAGGGGGGUAGAAUUCCAGGUGUAGCGGUGAAAUGCGUAGAGAUCUGGAGGAAUACCGGUGGCGAAGGCGGCCCCCUGGACAAAGACUGACGCUCAGGUGCGAAAGCGUGGGGAGCAAACAGGAUUAGAGACCCCCGUAGUUCCUGUCUCUUAUAC
rnacentral:rRNA from 1 species